AUCCCUCAGCACUGUCAAAAGUUUCAUUUUCUUGGAGACUGAACUCACCAACUGUGGACUAUCUCCAUACUGAGAAUUUCUGGCAUUGAAGGACCUGUGAAGAAGGCAAGGGAAGAAAUAGGUGACUACUGUUGCAGAGUUUGCAAUUGAUCCAGACGUUUGCCAGUGCACCUCAUGUUCCUGCAGGCAGUCUGGGCCGGAGCCAGGGCGUGACCACACAGAAGAUGAGGAAGAGCAGCUCUGCCUUUUGCCUGUUGCUCACUUCUGCCUCCUGAGCUGCUGUGAUUGGAGAUAUAUUCCACCACAUGAAGACUCAUGAGAGCCAUGUUGCAGUGUUCUUGUGUAAGAAACAAUUCAUAGACGACCACACAGAUUGAUACGUCACUACAAUGAGCCCUAUUCGAAGGAGGAAGAACAAAGAGUAUUGGAUCCCUUACCAAUCCAAUCAGAUGGACAAAAAUGGGCUAGUAUUUAAGAUAAAAAGGUUGCAUCUUGCACAAUCAUCCGCAACUCGCAACUCAGACCUGCCGACUUGGGGACAAGUGAAAUGCCUGACUGCCACUGCUGAACACAUGGUGAACAACUCCGGAAA